UCCUCCUUGUGGGAGGCUGUCUCGCUAGAGAGAGUAACUAGCGACGAGGGUUGCGCUCGUUGCGGGACUUAACCCAACACCUCACGGCACGAGCUGACGACAGCCAUGCAGCACCUUCCAUGGCGCCCCGAAGGGAAGACCGCUUUCACGGCCGGUCGCCACAGAUUUAGCCCAGGUAAGGUUCUUCGCGUUGCAUCGAAUUAAGCCACAUGCUCCACCGCUUGUGCGGGCCCCCGCCAAUUCCUUUGAGUUUCAUUCUUGCGAACGUACUCCCCAGGUGGUAUGCUUACUGCGUUAACUGCGUCACUGCCCCCGAAGGGGCAACAACUAGCAUGCAUCGUUUACAGCGUGGACUAC
rnacentral:misc_RNA from 1 species